CCUACGGGAGGCAGCAGUCGAGAAUCAUUCACAAUGGGGGAAACCCUGAUGGUGCGACGCCGCGUGGGGGAAUGAAGGUCUUCGGAUUGUAAACCCCUGUCAUGUGGGAGCAAAUUAAAAAGAUAGUACCACAAGAGGAAGAGACGGCUAACUCGGUGCCCGCAGCUGCGGUAAUACAGAGGUCUCAAGAUUUGUUCGGAAUCACUGGGCGUAAAGCGUGCGUAGGCUGUUGCGUAAGUCGGGUGUGAAAGGCGCGGGCUCAACCCGCGGACGGCCCAUGAUACUGCGAGACUAGAGUAGUGGAGGGGGAACCGGAAUUCUCGGUGUAGCAGUGAAAUGCGUAGAUAUCGAAAGGAACACUCGUGGCGAAGGCGGGUUCCUGGACAUUAACUGACGCUGAGGCACGAAGGCCAGGGGAGCGAAAGGGAUUAGAUACCCUAGUAGUC
rnacentral:rRNA from 1 species